rnacentral:rRNA from 1 species
UACGUAGGGCGCAAGCGUUGUCCGGAAUCACUGGGCGUAAAGGGCGCGUAGGUGGUUUGAUAAGGGUGUGGUGAAAGUCCGGGGCUCAACCCCGGAUCUGCCGUGCCGACUGUCAAACUCGAGGGCUGUAGAGGCAGACGGAAUUCCGGGUGUAGCGGUGGAAUGCGUAGAGAUCCGGAGGAAGACCGGUGGCGAAGGCGGUCUGCUGGGCAGUUUCUGACACUGAUGCGCGACAGCGCGGGGAGCAAACAGG